GAUGAACGCUGGCGGCGUGCCUAAUACAUGCAAGUCGAGCGAAUGGAUUAAGAGCUUGCUCUUAUGAAGCUAGCGGCGGACGGGUGAGUAACACGUGGGUAACCUGCCCAUAAGACUGGGAUAACUCCGGGAAACCGGGGCUAAUACCGGAUAACAUUUUGAACCGCAUGGUUCGAAAUUGAAAGGCGGCUUCGGCUGUCCCUUAUGGAUGGACCCGCGUCGCAUUAGAUAGUUGGUGAGGUAACGGCGCACCAAGGCAACGAUGCGUAGCCGACCUGAGAGGGUGAUCGGCCACACUGGGACUGAGACACGGCCCAGACUCCUACGGGAGGCAGCAGUAGGGAAUCUUCCGCAAUGGACGAAAGUCUGACGGAGCAACGCCGCGUGAGUGAUGAAGGCUUUCGGGUCGUAAAACUCUGUUGUUAGGGAAGAACAAGUGCUAGUUGAAUAAGCUGGCACCUUGACGGUACCUAACCAGAAAGCCACGGCUAACUACGUGCCAGCCGCCGCAGUAA
rnacentral:rRNA from 1 species